GAAACAGUAGCCUUUUUUACUAAUUUUUUUUUUUAUAAUUCCAGAAUAAUGUUAGUUUCUGGGGAUGAUGGAACACUAUUGCAGGUUCAGAUUCAAUAUCCUAAUAUGUAAAACGGUAGUGAAAAGUGAAACUCAAAACCCGGCUUUGAAUUUUCACAAGAGGGAGAGGUUUAGACUCACUGUUCUAUGUACUAUAGGAAGUAAAAAAGCUAAAAGCUGAGAUAAUAUCGUUUCUCCUUCUUCAUGGGGAUCUGCUUUGACUUUUGAGAAUUGGGAUCAAUAACUCGGAUUCGAGGUUCAUUUCCCGUUUAGCUAUUAUAUAUAUAUACGGUGGAAUUGUUUCUCUUCUUUCUUCUUCCACCAUUGAAGGUUGUUUUAGGCUUGGCAGAAUUUCGCAGAUUUGAAUGCAAGUGUGUACAUGAAGGAGUUUGAA
rnacentral:misc_RNA from 1 species